rnacentral:rRNA from 1 species
GUCCUAUUGUAUUGUUUAAUAGGUCUGGCCUGCCCAGUGAUAAUUUUAACGGCCGCGGUAUAUUGACCGUGCAAAGGUAGCAUAAUCAUUAGUCUUUUAAUAGGAGGCUGGAAUGAAAGGUUUAACGAGAAAUUGACUGUCUCAAUUACAAUCUUGAAUUUAUCUUUUGAGUCAAAAGACUUAAAUAUAAUUGGUGGACGAGAAGACCCUAUAGAGCUUGACAUUUAUUUUUUUAUAUUUACUUAGCUAAAUUAUUUAUUUAUAUUAAAAAAAUUGUUUUGUUGGGGUGACAAUAAAUAUAUAAUUAACUUUUAUCAUAAUAUUAACAUUAAUUUAUGAUUUUUGGAUCCAAAAAUUUUGAUCAGUAGAUUAAGUUACC